AGGGUUCGAUUCUGGCUCAGGAUGAACGCUGGCGGCGUGCUUAACACAUGCAAGUCGAACGGGAUCCAUCAGGCUUUGCUUGGUGGUGAGAGUGGCGAACGGGUGAGUAAUGCGUGACCGACCUGCCCCAUACACCGGAAUAGCUCCUGGAAACGGGUGGUAAUGCCGGAUGCUCCAGUUGAUCGCAUGGUCUUCUGGGAAAGCUUUCGCGGUAUGGGAUGGGGUCGCGUCCUAUCAGCUUGACGGCGGGGUAACGGCCCACCGUGGCUUCGACGGGUAGCCGGCCUGAGAGGGCGACCGGCCACAUUGGGACUGAGAUACGGCCCAGACUCCUACGGGAGGCAGCAGUGGGGAAUAUUGCACAAUGGGCGCAAGCCUGAUGCAGCGACGCCGCGUGAGGGAUGGAGGCCUUCGGGUUGUAAACCUCUUUUAUCGGGGAGCAAGCGAGAGUGAGUUUACCCGUUGAAUAAGCACCGGCUAACUACGUGCCAGCAGCCGCGGUAAUACGUAGGGUGCAAGCGUUAUCCGGAAUUAUUGGGCGUAAAGGGCUCGUAGGCGGUUCGUCGCGUCCGGUGUGAAAGUCCAUCGCUUAACGGUGGAUCCGCGCCGGGUACGGGCGGGCUUGAGUGCGGUAGGGGAGACUGGAAUUCCCGGUGUAACGGUGGAAUGUGUAGAUAUCGGGAAGAACACCAAUGGCGAAGGCAGGUCUCUGGGCCGUUACUGACGCUGAGGAGCGAAAGCGUGGGGAGCGAACAGGAUUAGAUACCCUGGUAGUCCACGCCGUAAACGGUGGAUGCUGGAUGUGGGGCCCGUUCCACGGGUUCCGUGUCGGAGCUAACGCGUUAAGCAUCCCGCCUGGGGAGUACGGCCGCAAGGCUAAAACUCAAAGAAAUUGACGGGGGCCCGCACAAGCGGCGGAGCAUGCGGAUUAAUUCGAUGCAACGCGAAGAACCUUACCUGGGCUUGACAUGUUCCCGACGGUCGUAGAGAUACGGCUUCCCUUCGGGGCG
rnacentral:rRNA from 1 species